rnacentral:rRNA from 1 species
UACGAAGGGAGCUAGCGUUGUUCGGAAUCACUGGGCGUAAAGCGCACGUAGGCGGAUCGUUUAGUCAGGGGUGAAAUCCCGGAGCUCAACUUCGGAACUGCCUUUGAUACUGGCGAUCUCGAGUCCGAUAGAGGUGGGUGGAAUUCCUAGUGUAGAGGUGAAAUUCGUAGAUAUUAGGAAGAACACCGGUGGCGAAGGCGGCCCACUGGAUCGGUACUGACGCUGAGGUGCGAAAGCGUGGGGAGCAAAUAGG